UUGAAGUUGUUUGAUGUACACCCUUUCCAAAACUGAGAAAUUCCCUACUUUUACUUUCAUUUUCAGAGUUUUUCAAUACAGACGCAUUUUGCCGGAAAACGAAUCUGACUUCAAACCACGAAAUUUUAACAGGAAAGAGACAAUUUGAUGAGCUUUCAUUCAAGAGGUCCCUCGUUGCUGAACGAAAAUUAGGGCCGAAGCUAUGAACCAUAACGUUAACAUUACCGCCUAUGGAAAAUGCAUUAGUGGACUAUACCCAUAUUGAGCUCCAUGCUGAUAACAUGUAAAUUGAAAUGGAAGUCUUCUUUAAAGAAUAAAACACAACAAUGAGCCACACUUGAUAGUUUUUCAAUACAGACGCAUUUUGCCGGAAAACGAAUCUGACUUCAAACCACGAAAUUUUAACAGGAAAGAGACAAUUUGAUGAGCUUUCAUUCAAGAGGUCCCUCGUUGCUGAACGAAAAUUAGGGCCGGAGCUAUGAACCAUAACAUUAACA